UUGAUCUCGGAGCUGGUGAACACAGCCUGCGCUUUCCGCCUGCCCCGCUGCCCCGAGGGUGCCCUUUCAGGCGUAUCUCUGUGGUGUUUGGGGAGCACUCCUUCCUUGUGACCAUAUCUGGUCAGAAGCUGUUUGUGGUGAAGAGGCAGAACAGCGUCCGGGAGCCUGUGAUCGUCUGAACUUGACCUGCCCGCUUCUUCUGUAACUGUGACUUUGGGAGUGGGGGACUCAAGGAGAGUUGGAGUGCAGGAACAAAGCACCUUCUUUUUUUGUAUGCGUGUGGGGCUCAUCCCUGUGUUGAUACUGGGUCACAAGAGGGCUGGCGGCUCCUUGGAUGCGCUGUACGUUCUGCUUAAAGGCUUCGUGCCGCUGGGGGUUUGCUCCAUAUAGCUGUGGGUGUGAUGGCGGUAUGUGAAAUAAAGUUCUUUGAAAAGAGACAA